AAGUCAGAUGUGAAAGCCCGGGGCUCAACCUACGGAAUUGCAUUUGAAACUGGCAAACUAGAGUACUGUAGAGGGGGUAGAAUUUCAGGUGUAGCGGUGAAAUGCGUAGAGAUCUGAAGGAAUACCGGUGGCGAAGGCGGCCCCCUGGACAGAUACUGACACUCAGAUGCGAAAGCGUGGGGAGCAAACAGGAUUAGAUACCCUGGUAG
rnacentral:rRNA from 1 species